GGCAUUAGCUAGUAGGUGGGGUAACGGCUCACCUAGGCGACGAUCCCUAGCUGGUCUGAGAGGAUGACCAGCCACACUGGAACUGAGACACGGUCCAGACUCCUACGGGAGGCAGCAGUGGGGAAUAUUGCACAAUGGGCGCAAGCCUGAUGCAGCCAUGCCGCGUGUGUGAAGAAGGCCUUCGGGUUGUAAAGCACUUUCAGCGGGGAGGAAGGCGAUAAGGUUAAUAACCUUGUCGAUUGACGUUACCCGCAGAAGAAGCACCGGCUAACUCCGUGCCAGCAGCCGCGGUAAUACGGAGGGGGCAAGCGUUAAUCGGAAUUACUGGGCGUAAAGCGCACGCAGGCGGUUUGUCAAGUCGGAUGUGAAAUCCCCGGGCUCAACUUGGGAACUGCAUUGGAAACGGGCAGGCUAGAGUCUGGUGGAGGGGGGUAGAAUUCCAGGGGUAGCGGUGAAAUGGGUAGAGAUCGGGAGGAAUCCCGGUGGGCGAAGGCGGCCCCUUGGACAAAGACUGCCGUUCAGGUGCGAAAGCGUGGGGAGCAACCAGGAUUAGAUACCCUGGUAGUCCACGCCGUAAACGAUGUUGAUUUGGAGGUUGUGCCCUUGAGGCGUGGCUUCCGGAGCUAACGCGUUAAAUCGACCGCCUGGGGAGUACGGCCGCAAGGUUAAAACUCAAAUGAAUUGACGGGGGCCCGCACAAGCGGUGGAGCAUGUGGUUUAAUUCGAUGCAACGCGAAGAACCUUACCUGGUCUUGACAUCCACAGAACUUGCCAGAGAUGGCUUGGUGCCUUCGGGAACUGUGAGACAGGUGCUGCAUGGCUGUCGUCAGCUCGUGUUGUGAAAUGUUGGGUUAAGUCCCGCAACGAGCGCAACCCUUAUCCUUUGUUGCCAGCGGUUAGGCCGGGAACUCAAAGGAGACUGCCAGUGAUAAACUGGAGGAAGGUGGGGAUGACGUCAAGUCAUCAUGGCCCUUACGACCAGGGCUACACACGUGCUACAAUGGCAUAUACAAAGAGAAGCGACCUCGCGAGAGCAAGCGGACCUCAUAAAGUAUGUCGUAGUCCGGAUUGGAGUCUGCAACUCGACUCCAUGAAGUCGGAAUCGCUAGUAAUCGUAGAUCAGAAUGCUACGGUGAAUACGUUC
rnacentral:rRNA from 1 species